AAUGCCUUAAAGAAAGGACUGAUCUCCCCUGAAGAAGAGAGAAUUCUGCCUCUAGAUUGCUUACAAUUUGAACUGGAACAUCAGCUGUUCUCUAGGUCUUAAGUCUGCUGCUCUAACCUACAAAUUUUGGACAUGCCAAUCUCCACAGUCACAUGGGCCAAUUCCUUAGUUUCUCUGGAGAAUCCUGACUAAUGUAUGCAAUGUCUUUAUUUCAUCCUCAUUCUUAAAGGAUAUUUUCAUCAGCAACACCACACCCUCCUGAUCACCAUAGCUUUAUGAUCUGAGCUUUCAUCUGGUAUCAUUUCCUUUCCGUCUGAAGAACUUGCUUUCCUUGCAACAACAAGAAACAAAUUUAUUAGCUAACCUAACCACUAAUGACGCAAGAGACAAUUCUAAGGACUUUCAAAACAGCAAAGUAGGAGCAGCUGCUACCUCUAGGGAUGAGGGAGAAACUCAAAAAUGCAUACAAAAACCAUUGCAUGAAAAGUGACUGGAUUUGUACAUAGCGUCAGGAGAUGUGCGUAGUGUCAAAGUAUCUCAUCACACAUUACUUGAUAAUUACAAAUGAGAAAAAUGAACCUUCACAGUGGCAAGACUUGACUUCUACCUCUUUCAAAAAGAUGCAAUUGUCCAAUUAUUGGUGAAAUUGUCAUUUCAUGCUAUUGGCUAUUUGAAAUUCCUCCUCUAAUUUCAGAAUAAAUCACUGAAAUUGACAUCGGCCAGUCUGAAUUUCAAGAAAUUACCUGCUGAAGACAAGAGGGAUCUCUUCUUCAGAUUUGCAGUCUGGGGAAGACACAGCCUCUACUGUACUUUAGAACCUGAGAUAUGGUGGUGGAGGGAGCCCUGGGUCGAGUGGUAAGAUUCACCCUUAGGUUAGUAUUGACGUAAGGUGACGAGGAGCUGUAGACAAAAGAUUGUAACCAUAAGAACUUCAUAGUUUUUGUAUUUUCACCGAGCUUAUAUUUGGUGUGUUUUUUGUCUUUUCUUUAUGAUUAUCAAUAAAAUGCUUGAAAGGAGAUGAGGUUGGGGAAUAAUUUUUGGGAAUACCACAAAAGACACUUUUGUGAUGGAAAUCCUUAAAAAGACACAAUCCAUUACCUCAUUGGGUUCAAAAGGCAAUUGUGAACUACUGUGGAGUUUGGAAAGAAGCAAUGAGGUAAUCAAGGAUACUGUUGACAAUCUAGCUUAUCCUAUGGAUGGAAGGAAAUUGAAACUAAUGGAGGCGAGGCUGGUAAAACAAUAGGGUUUGAGACAAUUCUGUGGCAUUAGAAAUGAAAGAGGAAGGUGAAUCCGGGAGACGGAGCUUGCAGUGAGCUGAGAUCGCGCCACUGCACUCCAGCCUGGGCGACAGAGCGAGACUCCAUCUCAAAAAAAAAAAAAAAGAAAGAAAGAAAAGAAAGAGGAAGUAAUAAUCUGUGAAAUUUUUCCUUAGGAACUUAUUGGCAAUUUAAAAAUGAAUUUGUUAAGCCAUGCUGGUUCUGACCCAAAAGCCAUUCCCCAGCCUUCCUCACUCCCCUCUUUCACUACUGGCAGAGAUUGUCUCUCAUUUUACAAGCUGAAAAUGCCAGAUGCUUGCUUUUACAGUCUUCCUUACACCCAGAGCAUGUGCAUAUGUUUAAACGGUCAAGAAGAAGUCAUAACAUGGGUGUCUGGGAGAGCUUUUAUCCCACAAAAACAACACUUCACUCAAAAAACAAACCAAACAAAGAAAAAUUCUCCUUCCUGCCAUUGGAUGUGAGGCUCAGACCUCUAGUAACCAUUUUGUGACCACAAAGCAACAAGCCUGAGGAAAAGUCCUACACGCUGAGCAACAGGCAGAAAUAUUGCCAUCGCUGAGUUGCAGAAACAAAUCUAGAGAUGUUUUGCUUCUGUAAUUAUUUUUUAUGGGAGAUUACAAGUGGGUUUACUGUUCACUUUUCAAAUCUUAUUUCUCUAUGAUGUUUAGCUUGGGUAAAUUUUACCUUAAAUCCACUUUUUUAUGUAAGGUAACAUAUUUGUCGGUUUCAAGGAUUAAGAUGUGGGCAUACUUGGAGGCCAUUAUUUUGCCCACCACAGGUGAAAAAGGAAGUGUUAUUCUUAAAUCAUUUGGAAGGAUCUCUGUGUAAAUGCAAGAGCGAGACAAGAAAAUGCUGUCAUUCUUUUGAUAUGGACUCGAAUUUCCACUUCAUGGUUGUCUGCUUCCUUUUUAGAGUAUUAUUUAUCCUCCUAAUAAAAAGAAAGUGAAAUUUCCC
rnacentral:lncRNA from 1 species